UAAACUGGAGAGUUUGAUCCUGGCUCAGAACGAACGCUGGCGGCGUGCCUAACACAUGCAAGUCGUACGAGAAA
rnacentral:rRNA from 1 species